GCGCAAGCCGCGGAUCCCUUUGCCGGCUCCGAGGGGUCGUGGAGGCGGCGCCGCCAUCGUUGUGGACCUCUGGGUCGCCAUCUGGAGACCUCUGCUGAGGUACGCCUUCGCCUUCGCACGCCGCCGACCUCCCAGAGGAGACGCCGCCACGAUCUGCGCUAAACCCUAGGCAUCAACCACCAUGCUCCCGUCCUCCGGUUCCUCCUGCGUUCGCCACCAUGCGAUCGCCUUCCUCCCUCAGGUUCUUGUACGGAACAUACCACCAGACCCCGAUGAAUCAGAUAGCAAGCCUGUGGAACAUUUCUUCCUUGUCAAUCAUCCUGAUCAUCAUCUGAAACAUCAGGUAAUCACUAAAUUUUGGAACAUCUCUCAUUUGAAGAAUCAUCUGCAAAUUCAAAUGUAAGGAAGUGUGCAGUGCAAGCAAUUAUAAGGGUAAAUCUAUUUCUCAAUUAUGUAUUUUUACCACUUCAUCAGGAGUGUAAACUGAUAGUAUUUCCAACUACAAAGUGUUGGCUGCCCAGGAAGAAGGAAAGGUCAGUCCAGACAUGACAUUUAACUAUAAUAAUGGAGGUAUGUAGUGCCUACUGCUCCCUUGUCCCUUGCUACCGGCUGGGGAUGCUCGGCUCGCCAGCGAUGGGGAUGCUCGGCGGGCAGUCCCUGCUCUCAUUUUCCUCCAGCCUCUGGUAACCCUCCUCCUCACCUGCCUCGCUGAAGCGGGAUUCACAGGUUAGUUUAGUUUGGAGGGAUUUCCUGUGGUUGUGCGUGAAUCCAGUGUUCAUCGGGCUUGUAUGUUUCAUUCCUAAUAUGCUAGCUCCUGCCUAAACACGCAUUAGAGAAUCUCAUGUAUGUAACAGAAGAUACACAGAUGUGGUUUUCCAGGGAGCAUCAGGUACAUCUUAUGUGGGGAUGAACCAUCAGCUAAAGGGAGUGAUAGGAAAAUAUUUUGUUGAAUGCAAUGGGAAGGUGAAAAACGACACGCCUUGGCGAAGCAACUCUAAGAUUCGGUAAGGCUAAUCAAGUCUGCAAUCAAAUCCAAGAGCAGGGGCAGAGAAAAACAUUAAAAUACUUUUUAGGGCAGAGAAACGUUAAAAUACUUUUUAGCUAUUGAUUGAAGUAACUGGUAAUUAGUAGCAGGAGCAACAAUUGUAGUAAGAACCUACCUAGGCAUAUUUUCUCUCUUUCCUAUCACAUGGCACAUUGAAUAACUUUACAGUACAAAUACAUUCACAUAUGUUAUUUUAAAUUAUCAUGUGAUGGAGGUUCUCGUUAUUUCAAAUCUUUGGUCGGAACCUUCAUUUUGUGUUAUUAAAUGCACAUGGUAUUCAGUUAUCUCCAUUAUGGUGAGAAGACUUUGAUCUUGAUAUAUCAGAUUUAAGCCUCCUACACCAUAGGAGGUCCUCCUUUUGGUGAUAUUCACUCAUAUGUCAUUCUAAAUUAUCAUGUCAUGGAGGUGAUGGGUAUUUCGAAUCUUUGGUUGGAACCUUCAUUUUGCGUUAAAUUCACAUGGUAUUCAGUUAUCUCCAUUAUUACCAGUAGCAAUGCACAAGCACUUUCUAUUAAAUGCACAUGCUAUUUUCUUUUGUAUCAUGUCAUUUUGUGGUCAUUAACAAUCAGAUUGAUGAAAUUGAUCUUGUUUUGUGCAUCAUGGAUUUUCCUCAACUGAAUGAGUAGAAACAUAAGUGUGUAAUGUAGUAGCCCCUCUAUUCCAUUGUUAUAAAUAUUAUAGUUUUUCAAUCUUCUGACCUGAUCGUAACAACUGUUUAAAAGGAAGUGAUCACAUCACUAUUUAGAUUUUACUUUUUUUGUAUGCUUAAACAUAAGAUUAGUUUGUCCCCUUUCUUUUUACCCUUCAUGCUAACAUAAUAAAUACAUAUUUGAACUGAAUCGGUUGUAUUACAUAUGCCACGAAGGAUGUCGCCGCUUGAAGCUCAAUUUCCAUCAGCCCCUCUUUUAAUUCACUUGCAUUGUUUCAGCUUUGCAUUGUACUUCUUUGACGAAUUACCUCAUCCAAUCGGCUUUAAUUCGGAGCGUCAGUCUUACUAAUUAUCAUUGCCUUAACUUUUCAUAUGAACCUCUUACAGGAAACAAGGACUCCUAUUUGUCUGUAGUACUGCCCAUGAGACUCAACCUUGUUUUACCUUAAUUAUCAUGGUGUGCCUGUUUUUAGAAUAGCUCACCAUUUUGUUAGUGGCAAUAAAAUGAUCUUUAGGCACACCUAUAGCGCACAUGUGAUGAUGUACAGAUGAAAGAAAGAUCUUAGAAGUUGAGAAGCCGAGAGCUGGAGGAAUAAGGAGAAGCUAAAAAGACAGAAGAAGUCAGAGCAUGUGGAGCUGUUGGGCAAGCAGAGUUCUAUCUGGGUAUUUAGGUAGAUGAGGAUAAAAGGGAAAAGGAAAAUGUUGACGAUAUAGCUACUCAAUGCUGAGAAUGUUGCCUGCAUACUUUGUUGCCUAUAUAUCAUCGGCUUUGUAUUGAUCCAGGCAAGAACAAUCAGAUGGAACAAGUUUGCUACGGGUGGGUGUGCAUCAAGUUGCUUCGUUGCCGGCGGCGAGUAAUCUCACACAUGUUUAUGGUGCAUAUGUACCGGAAAAUUCAAAUGGUUCUGAUCAUACGUACGAGGGGAAUCAGGUAGGGCUUGAUGCGCCUUUCAUACGAAAUGUUGAUGAGAAUUACCCAAGUAGUCCAGGUAUGAGGCUGUGCGGAUAUAGUAAUCAUAAUUUUCAGUGGCAUCGGCAUGUUCUAAUAAAUAAGAUGGGAAGUUCAGAAUAAUGUAACAUCGGCAUGUUCUAAUAAAUAAAAUAAGAGAAGGCUGGGUAUACUGAAGCAGACCCCUUAUAAUUAUGAACGGUUUAUAAAGUUGAAGGAUGAAACUUGAACGAACACAAUUCUGAGGUUUGUAAAGUGAAGCCAAAGACAAGUUCGAGGGGUAAUGUGGACUUCUCUCAAACUAUAUUAUUAGAGGACAAUGAGGGUCUUGAAGACAAUGAAAGCGAUCAGUUUCUGCUGGUUUUGUUUUGUUGUAGGCGAAGUUCUUAAUUAUAAUUAUCAAUGUGUUUGUUUUUCUUAAGGACGCAGUGACAUGCAAGGCGAGGGAAAUUGAAGCCAAAACAUGCAGGACGGCCAGGAGUGUGCCAUUUUUUCUAUGACAGGAGGUGGUUCUUCAAUCUUCAGGGAAUCAAGUGGUAGCAUCAGAUACUGACAUGCAUGGAAGUAAACAUUGAUAAGAGUACAAGCAUUGGAGGAGUACUCACCACUUUCGAGGAAGUCGUCAUCAUGGUGGUGGUGGUCGAGGAAGUCGUAGGUGCUGGUGGCAUCAUCACGGAGCAGUUACCAUCUUCUCCUCGACUUAAAAUGUAGUACUCCAUGUACUCCCACUUGUUAACUUUUUGAAAUGCAGAUCCACUCCAAGAAUGUGCUCUGAAAUGGAAGUAACAUGGAGUAUACUCUAAAAAUCAGUAUGGUUUGAGCCCACUAGAUCAAUCAAAGUUCUCCAGCAUGAUAAAAAUAA